CCGUUGGGCAAAGAAACCGAAGCGGUUGGUGUGCUAGAAUCUAGCAUGCACUCCUUGAGCAUUGCUGAAGAGGAGCAGCAUGACUCUCUGGAUGAGGAGGAGGCGAAUUAUAUGAGGAAUAGCAUUAUUGACAUGGAUGAUUGCUGGGAGGAUCCUAAUCAGAAGGGCUUGGAAGAAGAUCGGGACAGCUCUGAUGAAGACUAUAGUCCUUUUCUUCAUCUACGUGCCCCAGCUAUGACUGCCAACAUAAACCAACUCCUGGAGAUAAGCAUGGAUAAAGCCGUGCUUGAUGUGGCAACACCCAAUCCUCCAGGUGAGGACAUACAAGAAACUCCAGAACAACAAAAAGUUUCAGGACAACUUCAGAUUUGGAGAAUUUCCAAAACCACAUACUCAUGUAUGCAGGAAAGCGGUUUGCCUACAGCCCCCCUGUUUACAAAACCCAGACAUUGCUUGCAGCAAUCGAUUACAACUAUCACAACCACCGCAUUCCUGCACGUGGCAAGGAUGGACACCGAAUGUACAGACAGUACUUCAACAAGAAGUCCGAGCGCUGGAGUGUAUAUGUGUUGAAGGAGAGCAAAGGCUACCAUUACAUUCCAGACCUGCAGAAGGCCAUCCUUGCUGAGUGGCUGGGAAGUGGAAUGGGCCUUCCCAGAAUACAGGGUCUAAGGCCUGAUGAUCCCAGGCGCUUGGGUUUGCUUGCCGCAACACAGCCUCCAUUCACAUUUGAACUUGUCGCGGC
ensembl:lncRNA